GAGGCUACGACAGCAGCAAAUUGUAAAUACAGCAGGACUUAGCUACUUGGUGAAGCAAAGCGUAGUGGAAAAGCAAAGAAUCGUGAAGUGAGCAGCCUCCGCCAGCUCCGUUCUAUCGCGCGUUGCUCCGGUUUUCGGUGAAAGGUUCUUUAAUUAUAAAUAUUUGAUCUACGCGAUUCACUUUCCGGCUCCUGCUCCGGUGUACGUGGGCUGGUUGCGAGGUCAUUUGCCCGGAUGAACUCCGGCGAUACAUUAAAACCAAUGACUUGUGAAAGAGUUUAAGAAGGCAGUCGGCAUUCCCGGGAACAUGCGUGUCGACGUAACACCAAUUACUGGAGUGUCUACGAAAAAUUCUCCGUCAAGUAUACCAAUAACGAGAGAUUGGAGAUACCUCAACACCUUGAUGUCACAUGAAAGGCCAUUUUUGGCGACAUUCUUCUAAUGACUGCUAACUGCAUAAUCUACCUGCCAGCUUGAAGUCAUCACUGGAUUACGCACUUUGACAAGCAUAUGCGUUUCUGGCAGCAACGAACAACGUCUGCAUUCGUCAAACGAGCUGCUCCAAUCUGCUCAGACACAGAUGAUGCCGGCGCUGCGUACUCUGCUCAGACCCACCGCGAAUCGAUGGGCGAUCCUCAAAAUGAGCGUGAUGAGCACACUGUGGACACGCUUCACGAAACGGCAGAUGGGCUGUGUACGUUGGCGAACCAAAUUGGUGAACU